rnacentral:rRNA from 1 species
AUGCUGAAAGAAGGACUAAUCACUCCAAGCAUUAGCCCGUUCUCAUCACUGGUGCUGUUAGUCAAGAAGAAAGAUCUUACCUGGAGAUUCUGCGUGGAUUUUCAACAUCUGAACACCAUCACCGUCAAGAACACAUACCCCUUGCCGAUCAUCGAUGAAUUGCUCGACAAACUAGCAGGAUCCAAAUGGUUCUCGAAGCUCGACCUGCAAGCAGGAUACCACCAGAUCAGGCUGCGACCGAAGGAUGAGGAGAAGACAGCGUUUAAAAUGCAUCAGGGGCACUUCCAAUUUCGAGUGCUUUCAUAUGGAGUGACAAGUGGACCAGCCACGUUUCAAGGAGAUCAGUGA